AGAGUUUGAUCAUGGCUCAGGACGAACGCUGGCGGCGUGCCUAACACAUGCAAGUCGAACGGAGAUGUUGAUUCGGUUGACGUCUUAGUGGCGAACGGGUGAGCAACGCGUGAACAAUCUGACCUUAAGAGGGGGAUAACAACGAGAAAUCGUUGCUAAUACCGCAUAAGACCACAAUGCCGCAUGGCGAAGGGGUCAAGGGAGCAAUCCGCUUAAGGAGGGGUUCGCGUCCCAUUAGGUAGUAGGUGAGGUAACGGCUCACCUAGCCGACGAUGGGUAGCCGAGCUGAGAGGCUGAUCGGCCACACUGGAACUGAGACACGGUCCAGACUCCUACGGGAGGCAGCAGUGGGGAAUAUUGGGCAAUGGGCGCAAGCCUGACCCAGCAACGCCGCGUGAGGGAAGAAGGUUUUCGGAUUGUAAACCUCUGUCGCAGAUGACGAAACAAAUGACGGUAAUCUGUGAGGAAGCCCCGGCUAACUACGUG
rnacentral:rRNA from 1 species